UUUGAAAGAUUUGUCAUAAACAUGUUAUAUUUUGCCAAACAGAAAACACCACUUAUUUAUGUUUUUAUUUGAUAUAGAAAACCGUAUUAAUUUUCAGGGGUACAGAAUUUACUUGGGCAGACAAUUGGAGAAUCAUAAAGUAACAAUUUCCAAAAUAGCUGAUUUACUUGGGAAUACAACCUCAGCCAAAAACCACUUGAAUAAGUGCCUCUUCAUUGUGGGAAUAGGCAGUAAUGACUACAUCAAUAAUUUUUUAAUGCCAGAUAUCUACCCAACAAGUCAUUUGUACACACCAAGUCAAUAUGCAACAGUCUUGAUAGAACAAUACUCCCAACAUCUAAAGCAAUGACUACAUCAACAAUUUUCUAAUGCCAGAUAUAUAUCCAACAAGUCAUUUGUACACACCAACUCAGUACGCAACAGUCUUGAUCGAACAAUACUCCCAACAGCUAAAGGUUCGAAUUAAACUUUUUUUUUUAUUGGAUAUAGUUAAAUUGCUAUUUUAAUUAAGAAAAAUGAGAAUAGUUGAAUGGUUAAUGUUGCAAUUUUGUUGGUAGUAGGAUUUAUAUGAAGAUGGAGCAAGGAAAAUCACCCUAUUUGGACUGCCCCAAAUAGGUUGCAUUCCAGAUGAGUUGAAAAAACACAGCACACUUUUAUGUGUCGAUUCAACAAAUGAGGCAGUUAAAUUAUUCAAUAAAAAAUUAAAAGCUCUUGUUGAUGAUCUUAAUACCAAUUUACCAGAUGCACAAUUCAUAUACAUACGAUUCAACAAAUGAGGCAGUUCAAUUAUUCAAUAAAAACUUAAAAGCUCUUGUUGAUGAUCUUAAUACCAAUUUACCAGAUGCACAAUUCAUAUACAUAAACAUGUACAGUAUUUCAUCCGCGAUAGGUAUGUCAAACAUCAGUAGUAUACAUAUACGAUAGAAUUUUUCCUUAUUGUAUACUAAUAUUUGUCACGUUUAAUUUCAAAAUUUUUUC
rnacentral:lncRNA from 1 species